AGCGUUGUUCGUAAUGACUGAGUAUAUUGUAUAAGAAAAUAAUGAUGCGUGUAAACAAAUUAUUUUAUACGUUUGUUUAUAAUAUUUUUUUUUUAAUUAAAUUCUGUAUUGUAAUGAUAAAAUAUAAUAACAGUGCAGGAUUUUUUUAUAGAAUUAAAAAUUAAUAUUUUUAUAUUAUUAUGAAGGUAUAAUUAUCGAAUAGGAUUAGGGACCCUAGUAGUUUUUACAGUAAACAAUGGCUAUUUAAAUUUAAUGUUAUUAGCUUACUUAGGUAGUACGAUCGCAAGGUUGAAAUUUAACAGAAUUGGCGGGAAUUUAAUUUAACGGUGGAGUAUGUGGUUUAAUACGAUAAUCCACGUAAAAUCUUACCAGUGUGUUUUUUGUGAUUUAAUUUCAUUAAUUGGAGUAUAAUAGCGCAAUGAGUAGUAUUGCAUGGCUGUCGUCAACUCGUGUUGUGAAAUGUAAAAUUAAGUUUUUUAACGAGUGCAAUCUUUGGUAUUUAUAUUAAUUGUAUAAUGUAUAAUUAAAAAAAUAUUAGUAAUAAGUGAGCUGAAGUCAAGUCGGUAUGAUCUUUGUAUGCUGGGCUACACACGUGCUACAAUGAAAAAAACAAAGAACGGUUUUUAUGUGAAUAUAAACUAUCUUUAAAAAAUUUUCAAAGUUCGGAUUAUUUUUUGAAAUUUAAAAGUAUGAAGGUGAAAUCGUUAGUAAUUGUAAAUGAGUAUGUUACGGUGAAAAAUAAAAUUAAAUUUUGUACACACUGCCCAUCACGCUCGGAAAAUUAAUUGUAUUGUAUAAAUAAAAAUUUUGUGGUAUAUUUGUAUUUUUUGAAAAUAGGCAUUUUUUUUAUUUUUCUUUUAUAAUUGGUGAUUUGAGUG
rnacentral:rRNA from 1 species